rnacentral:rRNA from 1 species
AUUGAACGCUAGCGGGAUGCUUUACACAUGCAAGUCGAACGAGUGGCGGACGGGUGAGUAAUAUAUCGGAACGUGCCCAGUAGCGGGGGAUAACUACUCGAAAGAGUGGCUAAUACCGCAUACAAUGGAAUGGGCCGAUAUCGGAUUGGCUAGUUGGUGGGGUAAAGGCUCACAAGGGCAACGAUCCGUAGCUGGUUUGAGAGGACGACCAGCCACACUGGGACUGAGACACGGCCCAGACUCCUACGGGAGGCAGCAGUGGGGAAUUUUGGACAAUGGGGGAAACCCUGAUCCAGCCAUCCCGCGUGUAUGAGAAGGCCUUCGGGUUGUAAAGUACUUUUGGCAGAGAAGCGGUAUCUGCAGAAUAAGCACCGGCUAACUACGUGCCAGCAGCCGCGGUAAUUC